rnacentral:rRNA from 1 species
GUCUGUGGCCAUGCCACCCUGAACACGCCUGAUCCCCUCUGAUCUUGGAAGCUAAGCAGGGUCAGGCCUGGUUAGUACUUGGAUGGGAGACCACCUAGGAAGACUGGGUGCUGUAGGUA